CUGUGGAUAACCUGCGGGGGUCCCCUGUGGACGAGGGGGAACGCCGCUCCGGGCGGUCGCGGGCGCCGUACGGUCGGCUUCCGCGGU
rnacentral:tRNA from 1 species